rnacentral:lncRNA from 1 species
CCCUGGCAGUGGAGGAAAAAAAAGCAAAGAUCCGUGAUCGGUUUGCAGUUGCCAAAGGGACGGGUUUGCUGGCAAGCAAUGAAGAGAGGGUGCACUCUGUGGGAUCCUGGAGCUGGGACAAGCUGGGCAACACGGUUGUCUCUUCCUGAGGGUGUGAGUGCGGGGGCCGCAGCAGAGACAUGGCACCAGAGGAAGGAGGCUCUCACAGCUUGACAGAUCUGGGACAGACUCAGAGCAUCCCACAACACAAGUCACUUGGAAAAGAAAUACCCUUCAUUGUGUACAGAAUUCUCGAACUGGUAAGGAGGAGAAAUGAUCCAGGACAGGCAGGGAAGCAAGAGGAGGAAGAGCAGUACCACCAGUCCUGAAAGUUGACCCAGAACUCAGCAAACCCCAGUGCUAUGGCUCAGAGAAGAGAAGCCUGGCUGGAAAGGGCCAAGAAGCAGAAAAAAGGAG